AGCACUUUGUAUGUGUUCAACUAGUGGACAAAGUCAUGAAAGACAGGUACAAAAAUCAAUCUUCUUCUGCCCAGAACUCACUAUUCAGUAUGAGCUUUGAUACAUCCAAGAAGGGACAUG
rnacentral:snoRNA from 1 species